AUGGAUGAGUGUGUCGUCAUAGGCAGCCCGAACCCCCGCGAUGUUGUCCUCACCAACAUCAGCAAGAUGAAACCGGACGUGUUUGUCCAAAGCACCGUGAAUGGUUCAAAUGGCACCUUCUUCUUGUCACGGUUCCGAGGGGCCCUCUUCUUUUACUCUGCACUGUUUGACAUGCUUGAUGCAACCAUGCCACGGGAGAGCAAACUGCGGCUGGCGCUGGAGCGCGACGUCUUUGGGUGGGUUGUCCUGAAUGCCAUCGCAUAUGAGGGAAAGGACCGGGUGGAGCGUGGUGAGACCUAUAAGCAUUGGCAAGUCAGAAACCAACGGGCAGGCCUGAGGCAGCUGCCACUGGACAAACAAACUGUUAAGAUGGCUAGGGACAUGGUAAAGAAUGAAUACCACAAGGACUUUGUCAUCGACGAGGAUCACCAAUGGCUACUGCAGGGGUGGAAGGGUCGCAUCCUCUUGGCUCACUCAACAUGGGAGGCAGACGCUGGCUACUGCAGUGGCUGUUCAGUGUCCAGAGUUUGA
rnacentral:rRNA from 1 species